rnacentral:misc_RNA from 1 species
UUGGUUAUGUUUCGUUUACAUUUAGCAAGUUUUCCGUGAAGAAAGCUUGUGUUAGUGUAAGUUCUACAAUCAAUACUGUGAUUUUUUACUUCACCGCACAAAUUUUUGAGGUUCGUGGGAUUAUAAAAGGAUGGGGUUUGUUGAAGUUCUUUUGGGUGCAGAGUUUUAAAGUCUACACCGAAAAGAACAAAAUGUUUUUUGUUUGGUACGCAGGACAAAAACAUAGAAGGUUGCCCCUCUAAUGUUUUCUUCAUUUGUAUUUGAAAGGGUGUGGUAAUGAUCCUUCCGCAGGUUCACCUACGGAAA